rnacentral:rRNA from 1 species
GUCCACGCUGUAAACGAUGUCGAUUUGGAGGUUGUGCCCUUGAGGCGUGGCUUCCGGAGCUAACGCGUUAAAUCGACCGCCUGGGGAGUACGGCCGCAAGGUUAAAACUCAAAUGAAUUGACGGGGCCCGCACAAGCGGUGGAGCAUGUGGUUUAAUUCGAUGCAACGCGAAGAACCUUACCUACUCUUGACAUCCAGAGAAUUAGCUAGAGAUAGCUGAGUGCCUUCGGGAACUCUGAGACAGGUGCUGCAUGGCUGUCGU